rnacentral:rRNA from 1 species
GACGGAGGAUGCAAGCGUUAUCCGGAAUUAUUGGGCGUAAAGCGUCCGCAGGUGGACAUACAAGUCUGCUGUCAAAGUGCAGAGCUUAACUCUGUAAAGGCGGUGGAAACUGUAGGUCUUGAGUAUGGUAGGGGUAGAGGGAAUUCCCGGUGUAGCGGUGAAAUGCGUAGAUAUCGGGGAAGAACACCAGUGGCGAAAGCGCUCUACUGGGCCAUAACUGACACUGAGGGACGAAAGCUAGGGGAGCGAAAGGG